CCUACGGGGGGCAGCAGUAGGGAAUCUUCCACAAUGGACGAAAGUCUGAUGGAGCAACGCCGCGUGAGUGAAGAAGGGUUUCGGCUCGUAAAGCUCUGUUGGUAGUGAAGAAAGAUAGAGGUAGUAACCGGCCUUUAUUUGACGGUAAUUACUUAGAAAGUCACGGCUAACUACGUGCCAGCAGCCGCGGUAAUACGUAGGUGGCAAGCGUUGUCCGGAUUUAUUGGGCGUAAAGCGAGUGCAGGCGGGUUAAUAAGUCUGAUGUGAAA
rnacentral:rRNA from 1 species